UACGUAGGGCGCAAGCGUUGUCCGGAAUUAUUGGGCGUAAAGAGCUCGUAGGCGGUCUGUUGCGUCCGCUGUGAAAACCCAGGGCUUAACCCUGGGCUUGCAGUGGAUACGGGCAGACUAGAGGCAGGUAGGGGAGAAUGGAAUUCCCGGUGUAGCGGUGAAAUGCGCAGAUAUCGGGAGGGACACCGGUGGCGAAGGCGGUUCUCUGGGCCUGACCUGACGCUGAGGAGCGAAAGCGUGGGGAGCGAACAGG
rnacentral:rRNA from 1 species